rnacentral:misc_RNA from 1 species
CAGCCCUCAGGCCCCUGGCUGGCCUGGCGUUGGGGCAUCUGCGGGUGACCGCAGGCCCUGAAAGACAGUGGCGGUGUCCGCUAGCACUCCGGGCGUAGUAGAUCUCCUUCUCGCCCAGGACGCCUUGCGGGCUACCGGCCAUAAAACAGCCUAACGAUUGGAA